AAGCACUCUGUGUGGGGAACAUGAGAGCCAGACCAAAGCUCAGAGGAACCAGCCUGGACCUCCACCCAGCUCUGUGUCCUUACAGAGUGACGCGUCUAAAGAUCUUCCCAUUUAUUUUAAAUCCCAGCCUGCGUCUGCUGCAGAGAGGAUCCAUGGGAGACCUGCUGGACCUGAACCUGGACCCAGCUGUGUGUCCUUAAGGAGUGACUGGUCUAAAGGUGGUCUCAUUGAUUUUAAAGUCCAGCCUGUGUCUGCUGCAGAGAGAGUGGACCAGCAGAGCUCAGAGGUUCCCAGUGGUCAGUCUGCCCAG